GAUGAAGAACGCAGCGAAGUGCGAUACGUAAUGUGAAUUGCAAAUUCAGUGAAUCAUCGAGUCUUUGAACGCACAUUGCGCCCCCUGGUAUUCCGGGGGGCAUGCCUGUCCGAGCGUCAUUGCUGCCCUCAAGCACGGCUUGUGUGUUGGGCCCCGUCCUCCGAUCCCGGGGGACGGGCCCGAAAGGCAGCGGCGGCACCGCGUCCGGUCCUCGAGCGUAUGGGGCUUUGUCACCCGCUCUGUAGGCCCGGCCGGCGCUUGCCGAUCAACCCAAAUUUUUAUCCAGGUUGACCUCGGAUCAGGUAGGGAUACCCGCUGAACUUAAGCAUAUCAAUAAGCGGAGGA
rnacentral:misc_RNA from 1 species